rnacentral:lncRNA from 1 species
CUUAAAAGAAUUCAAAAUAAAUCUACAAUAAAUUUUAAAAGAACUCGUAAGAAACCUUAAAGAAAUAUUAGAAUAAUUAAAAACAUAUCUUAAAUAAAUUUCAACCAAAUCCUAAUUUAAUCCUAAUUGAAACUCUAAUGGACUUCAGUCAAAUCUUAGACCAAAUCCCAAGUCCUAAAUAAAUCCUAAAUCCUAAAUCUGAUGUAAAUCCUAAAUCCUAAAUCUUAAAUCUUAUCCAAAACCUAAAUCCUAAAUCCUAAGCAAAUUCUAAAUCCUAAAUUCUAAGCAAAUUUUAAGAAAAUCCUAAAUCAAAUUCCUAAGUCCUAAUCAAACGUUAACCAAAUCCUAAAUCCUAAUCCAAUCCUAAUUCUAAAUCCUAAAAAAAUCCUAAUUCUAAAUCCUAAAAAAAUCCUAAUUCAAAACCUAAAUCCUAGUCUAAUCCUAAAUCCUAAACAAAUCUUAACUAAAUUCUAAA